rnacentral:misc_RNA from 1 species
UCGUGGGGAUUCGUCCCUAUCGAGAUAGCACCCUUUGUCUAUGAGUACCUUCUGUUUCCUCGGCGGGUUAUGCCCGCCAAUGGGGACCCUUUAAACCCUUUGCAGUAGCAGUAAACUUCUGAUACAAAUAAAUAUUA